rnacentral:lncRNA from 1 species
AUGCUGCGGCAAUGGUGCAGCCGCGCGAACGACGGGACGAGGGCCCCGCUCGGGCGGCUCUUCCUCGAGGAGUCCCGUGGCUCGUUCGACAGGUGGUCCUCUUCCACGUACGUCGUCGUCGUCUUCCGCGGUGGCGUCCGACGAGGGCGGCCUGGACGGCGCGCCGCCGGAGAGCUACUGUCUCUGGACUCCCGGCGCCGGCCCCGCCUCGGCCUCGGCCUCCCCACGCCCGCCCAGGAAGAGCGGCUCAACGGCGAGCUCGUCGUCGGCCGCAGCCACAACGACGGCAAGGAGAAGUUCAUCAGCAAGGAGAACGACGUCGAUCACUUCAAGCCCAAACCCAAGCCGACGCCGGCAAGCGGCCGCAAGACGGUACAGGUCGCCGCCGCCGCAGAGAUCGACACGGUCGCCGCCAUGCACAGGAUAGCUUACAGCGCCAAGUGCCCCUCCUUCGAAGUCCUCCUUGCAGACGGGGCACUGCGAGCCGUCAGACAGGUGCGCUCCGGAGGUCUGCACCGUCGGGAACGAGUCGAUGGCCGACGACGGCACGGGCGCUGGCCCCGGCCGGUCGUUCUGGGUUAGCCCCCGACGG